UUGUGUAUUAUAUAAAUGGUAAAAUUUGGGAACAGCACACUAAAUGAUUUUCAUUUUCUUGUUUGUCUUGCAGAUAUGACUCCAGAAAUUAUGUCUUAGAAUGGUCCAUACUUCUCAUUGAUAACUCUAACCGCAUAUCAGUACAUUUGUUAACCUAUAAAACUUGUUAUUGUGUUAGAUAUUUUUAAGAUGCUAUUGGUUUGUGUUGGAAACCGGCCUGCAUGCAGCAUGUGAAUUUCCAACAUGUCAAGAAGUAGCCCGAGCCAUGCAACACAUGCAGCAACAAAGGUGGAUAUGUAGCCCAUGCAGAUUCAAGCACGCAAGAACAAAUACACAUAAGUUACCCAGGUAAAGUAUGUGCAAGGAUUCAUACACAUAAGUUACCCGGGUAAAGAACGUGUAACUGAAUCUGUUUGUUUUGGUUCUUUUGUAACCAAGUCUAUGAAAUGUGUUCUAGUUCAUUUUGAACUUAGCUUAAGCCUACAUUUGAUGUAGUUUGAUGAUGUAGGAGCUGAUGACCAACUUUACUUAAGUGUACAAGUUUAGUUUUGUAAGUUCUAAUGUAAUAAGUGGAGUUAGGUAGUGUUUAGGUAAAGGAUUUGUUGAUCUUCUGACCAGCCAAACGACUGGUAUAUGUAAUGGCUUUAAGCCAAUAUUUCAAAUGAAUGAAAUCAUUAGAUUUUCUUCCAUAUGCUCCAUUCUUCCUUUGCCUUCUAAAAAUUCUAAGUUCUGUUCUCCAUUCUUGACAGUAGCUAAAAGCUUGAAUUUCAAGCAUUUUUCCUUCAUAUAUUACCCGGGUAUAAUACGUUGCUGCUGGUGCUCUGUUUGAAAUUCUUACUUUACCCGGUUAAAGUGUGUUGAAAAUCCAACAGUUUGUAAGUACUUUCUUGCUUGUGACGUAUUGGCAGUUGAUCAAUGGAGUUUGUUGUGCCUCCAGCAGAUUCAUCUGUGUUCUUCCCCAUUUCUGUCCGUUUUUCAGCAACGAUUACAUACAGUGACCUGAAGGUUGUGAACAUCAUUCCCCUGAGAGGCGGUGGAACUCCUCCCCCCAAGUUCUCCCAGCUAACAAAUUUGAUUACAGAGAAUUAUCAAGUUGUGUGAUGAACGACUGUAAUAAUAGGUGACAAGUUUCUACUGCAGUUACACAGCGAGUACACUUCAAUCUAUGAUUCAAACAACAGCUGCACCUUUCUUUUUGCAUCUUCAUAAAAUAUUUUUAGAUAAGUGAUAUGCUAGACUUGCAAUUUUAUCUGUUUUGGAUUUUCUACUGGUUAUGGUUGAACUUAUUCUGAGAUAAGAUUCCAUAAUAAAUCUCGUUAACCAUGUAAUUAUUGAUUUAUGAUCCUGACAUUAUUACAUGUAAUGCUGGUUGUAUUGUAGGGAAGCAUGUUUUGAGUUGGAAUAUGAUUGCCUUUUGAUUAUUCAAA